rnacentral:rRNA from 1 species
GACGUAGGUGGCGAACGUUAUCCGGAAUUAUUGGGCGUAAAGGGUGCGUAGAUGGCCUGAUAAGUUAGCAGUGGGAAAUCGAGGCUCAACCUCGUGGAAGCUGGUAAUACUGUCAAGCUCGAGUGCAGGAGAAGUUAACGGAACUCCAUGUGGAGCGGUAAAAUGUGUAGAUAUAUGGAAGAACACCAAUAACGGCGAAGGCAGUUAACUAUUCUGUUACUGACAUUGAGGCACGAAAGCGUGGGGAGCAAAACGG